rnacentral:rRNA from 1 species
CUGCAGCUCAAGUGGUGGCCACUAUUAUUGGGCCUAAAACGUUCGUAGCCGGUUUGGUAAAUGCCUGGGUAAAUCGUGUAGCUUAACUAUACGAAUUCCGGGUAGACUGCCAAACUUGAGACCGGGAGAAGCUAGAGGUACUCCUGGGGUAGAGGUGAAAUUCUGUAAUCCUGGGGGGACCACCAGUGGCGAAGGCGUCUAGCUAGAACGGGUCUGACGGUGAGGAACGAAGCCCUGGGGCGCAAACCGGAUUAGAUACCCGAGUAGUCC